rnacentral:rRNA from 1 species
CUAGACAGCUAGCUCUCUGCAACUCUCACAUGGUCACCCACUGAAGCUAAGCAGGGCUGCACCCGGUCAGUACCUGGAUGGGAGACCACAUGGGAGAGCUGGGUUGCUGCCGGAA